UGGGGAUAUAGCUCAGUUGGUAGAGAGCUUGCCUAUAUGCACAAGGCCCUGGGUUCAAUCCCCAGCACACAA
rnacentral:tRNA from 1 species